GACGAACGCUGGCGGCGUGCUUAACACAUGCCAGUCGAACGGAAAGGCCCUGCUUUUGUGGGGUGCUCGAGUGGCGAACGGGUGAGUAACACGUGAGUAACCUGCCCUUGACUUUGGGAUAACUUCAGGAAACUGGGGCUAAUACCGGAUAGGAGCUCCUGCUGCAUGGUGGGGGUUGGAAAGUUUCGGCGGUUGGGGAUGGGCUCGCGGCUUAUCAGCUUGUUGGUGGGGUAGUGGCUUACCAAGGCUUUGACGGGUAGCCGGCCUGAGAGGGUGACCGGCCACAUUGGGACUGAGAUACGGCCCAGACUCCUACGGGAGGCAGCAGUGGGGAAUAUUGCACAAUGGGCGGAAGCCUGAUGCAGCAACGCCGCGUGCGGGACGACGGCCUUCGGGUUGUAAACCGCUUUCGCCUGUGACGAAGCGUGAGUGACGGUAAUGGGUAAAGAAGCACCGGCUAACUACGUG
rnacentral:rRNA from 1 species